AUUGAACGCUGGCGGCAGGCCUAACACAUGCAAGUCGAGCGAGCGGCGGACGGGUGAGUAAUGUCUGGGAAACUGCCUGAUGGAGGGGGAUAAAUACUGGAAAAGGUAGCUAUUACCGCAUACCAUCAGAUGUGCCCAUAUGGGGUUAGCUAGUAGGUGGGGUAGCGGCUCACCUAGGCGACGCGCCCUAGCUGGUCUUAGAGGAUGACCAGCCACACUGGAACGGGGACCGGGUCCAGACUCCUCCGUGAGGCAGCAGUGGGAAAUAUGGCGCAUAGGGCGCAGCCCUGAUGCACCGUUGCCGGGUGUGGGAAGAAGGCUUGCGGGUGGAAAAUCCCUUGAAGCGGGGAGGCGUUACCCGCAGAAGAAGAACCGGCUAACUCCGUGCCAGCACCGCGGUAAUUC
rnacentral:rRNA from 1 species